UCCAGUCUGCUCACUGAUAAUUUAAAGAGCCGCAGUAUAUUGACUGUGCAAAGGUAGCAUAAUCAAUAGUUUCUUAAUUGGAAACUUGUAUGAAAGAUUAGACGAGAAAUUUAUUUUCUUUAUUUUAAAUAAUUAAAUUUUAAAUUUAAGUGAAAAUGCUUAAUUAAAUUUAAAAGACGAGAAGACCCUAUAGAUUUUUAUUAUUUAACUAAAUUAAAAUAAAAAAUUUAAUAUAAUAAUUUCAUUGGGGUGAUUUUGUAAUAAAUAAAACUUAAUUUUUUAAAACCAUAAAUAAUUGAAAUUUUUGAUCUAAAAUUUUUAAAGAAAAGAUUAAAUUACCUUAGGGAUAACAGCGUAAUUUUUUUUAAGAGUUCAUAUCUAUAAAAAAGUUUGCGACCUCGAUGUUGAAUUAAGAUAAUAUAUUGAAGUAG
rnacentral:rRNA from 1 species